CUAUCUUCUACAACAAGCAGAGGGGGAAAUGGAGCAGAGUGACUGGCAGUCUUACCCCCAGAUCAGUCACCAAUUACAGAAACUUCUUCCAUCUGAUGUGUCCUGGUAAAUCAAGAAAGAAAUUACUGUCAAAGUGGGAGGACAAGCACACUGUAUAACAGCUCUGGAGGAAUCAUAGAAUGGCUUGGGUUGGAAGAGAUCCCAAGGAUCAUUGAGUUCCAACCCCCUGCCACAGGCGGAUCCACCAACCUCCAGAUCUGGCACUAGACCAGACUGCCCAGGGCCCCAUCCAACCUGUCUUGAACACCUCCAAGGGAUGAGGCAUCCACAGCCACUCUGGGCAGCCUGUUCCAGAUGUACACACGAUUUAAAUAUCAAUAACAAUACUUUCAAUUACGGUCUACAGCUGCUAUCUACAAUACCUGAAGAAAAAUACUGCUUUGUGGAAGCAUCUGCCACCCAGACACUCCAGUGCUUGAGCUACAAGUCUCUGUUGUUUCCAUGUAGCUCUGAAUGAGUCUGUUUGUUGAAACUCUGUUACAAAUACAGACUGUACAAAAGAAAUGCAGCUAUGAGGAUGUGGCCAAUAGCUUCAUCAGGAAGCUAUUUCACUCGCCAUUUGUUGCAGUUCGCUUCUGGAUGUUCCUUGGAUCUUCUGGCACGUGGCUGUAGGGAUAGAGGUAAGCAACCCUCUGCCCUGUAACGUGGAACAUGGGCUCUGCCAGUAGGGGCCAUCUUAGAUAGAAUUACAGAACCAUAAAAUGGCUUGGGUUGGAAGGGACCUCAAGGAUCAUCAAGCUCCAAUCAUUGCCCAACUAUGCUUGUG
ensembl:lncRNA